AUGACUAACAGCAAAGGGUACGACGAGGGCAUUCUUCCCUGCACCACUUUCCAUAACAACACUCAAGGCUCUAGAAAAUACUCUGGGCUGGAGGAGUUUUCAUUUGGCACGGAUUCAUCUAAGGAAAAAAGCUGGAGCUCUUCCAAAGACAAUAUUUGUCAGAGAAGCCUCAAUUCAGACCUAACAGUGUUUAUUAAAUUGGGAGCUGCUGUGCUGCCUUUUUUCGUCCUCUGAUCUGUAUGUACUUUGAAUCAGUUUCAGACUGAAUAUGAAAGUUGUUCCUUUUUCCCUUGCUCUGCAGUCUCUUUCAAGUCUGUCGUAAGCAACUGAUCAAAGGCGCUGCGUUUUAAUCAGACAAAACAGAUGUGAAGUCAGAUGACUGUUUUUAAUGGUUUGGAUCCAGUCGUUUUGACGACUACUGAUAUCGAAUCAAUGGGUGAUAUGGGGCAUGGCACUUCAGAGGAAAAGUUAGUCUAGCUAAUUUUAUCUCUAAAUAAAAUGUUAUAGGUGGUGGAAUGAACUUAAACAGACCUCAAAAUCUCCCCAUGCUGGAUCUUCAGCUGCCUAACAAACAAUAGAGAACAAGUUUUAUUGUUCUGUUGACAAAUGCUUUAAUUAAAAUGGGUGCAGGAGGAGCGUUAAAACUGCACUAAAUAACCGAUCCAAGGCCACAGCCGAAAACUUCUGCCCCAGGGGAGUAGGAAUCAAACCUGCUCUGCAAACAGGAAGCUUCAGCCCACAGCUCAGAGGGUCAGAGUGGAUUCAAAAGCAUCCGAUUGGGUGAGAAGUAACCAUGGAAACAUUUGAAUAACCACAGAGACCGCUCAGAUACUUGAGCAGGCUGUUAGCACCGUGUUCAAACAUUUAAUGCCCCCUCUACACCGAGACCUAAGAGUCUCUUUCCAAGUCACAGAGUUGGAGCACAUCCAGGCAAAGACUUUCUGACUCGCAGCACCUGCAGAGCUCGGCUGGGGGGAGAAACAGACAUAAAACUAUAUCUAGGUCAAGUAUACUGCAUCAACCACACUUCCCCAAACAAACACGAUCGCUCAGGAAAUACCCCUUUUUGUACCAAAACACAUGAAGCCUACUGUUCUCCAUGUACUUUGUGUUUGCAGCACGUUAGGCCACAAGUGUGCAUGGGUGUGUCUCACUCCUAGCUGGUGUGUUUACUUUUUAUGGUACACGUGUCUGUUGUGUACGUGUGCGGCAUGCACGUAAGGCUGUAUUUACAGCCUUUUCAUGAGAUCAUACGCACAAGUUCGGAUUAGGCAACGUGCAGUUUCGCCUUACAGAUUUUACUCUAGCGCCAAGUAAGUUCUAAGGAAGACUGGUGUGUGUACAAAGAAGUCAUCUUCUGUUUAUCUGGGGAGAGGUUACAAGGUCAUCACACACUUUUUCACUAUGAGCUGUCACGCUUUUACUCUAACCACAAGUCCAGAGUGUUUAACAAUGGCCUUGCAGUCAGGGGAAGAAUUUCAACCUGCUUACAUUAAAAAAGCGCUUCCUUUUGCAUGAUCCAAAUUAGUUUUAAUCCUCAGAUUAGUAAACAGGUUUUGCUAUUCAAGUCAAACGGCAUACAAAAAGAAGUGAAACCACGUAUAUAACACACCGAUUUACAGGUCACGUUGGCACCACCUAGAAAAAGGAAUGUGCUUUUAAAGGGGAAGUUCAAUCUAAAAUAUAAAUUCUAUUACCAUUUUCUCACGCUUAUGACUUUCUUUCACCUGAAGAACACAAAAGGCGACAUUUUGAAGAAUGUGUUUUGUCCACUAAACGAUGGUCAAUGCAUGGGGGAACCCUUUAUCUUUCAUCGUAUGUACUAAAACACAAGUAUUUUCUAAAAUAUCAUCAAAAGACAAACACAAACUGGUUUGAAAUGACAUGUGGAAGAGAAAAUGACAAUGACAAAGCUAGUUCACCGAGAAAAUAAAUAUUCUCGGUGAACUAGCUUUUAACAAAGUCUGCUCUGUGUUUAUUUAAAGGUAUAGCAGUAGGGGUGUUGCGAUAUACUGGUAUUGACGAUAACCGUGAUAUUCAAAGCAAUUAUCGAUAUCGUGUUAAUUUAGUGUGUGACAAUAUACCGGUAUUAGCAAUAACCGCAAUAUUUAAAAUUAACAGGUCUCUUAUGAUAACACCACAUGUAAAUACUCCAUCGCCAGUACCUGGUUGAGCUCCCAGGUGGCAGUAUUGUGCCUUAACGCUGACACCUGUCACACAAGACUACGACGCAGUGCUCGCAGCUGAGGAGAGCAGUGUUCAUCAGAGUAAGUUGCCAUUAUUUUACUAGUCAUAGAAUGGGAAAUGUUAUAUUAACCUGUUAACAGCAGUUUUCUGUGUUCAUAUAUUUAAGUAAAGGGCGAUUAUUUUAAUAAGUGCUGUGUUUUCUUUACUCAUCUUAUUUUUGUUUUUGCAAUCAAUACGGCCUGUGUGUAGCAACACUUUAUUUCUAUGUUCAACUGUUCUUGAAAAACUGAGCGACCACAUUGCUACAUUAAACUCUGUAAAAUGUUAAGUUGGUCGCAGUGCCACGCACUUAAUGCCUCAUUUGCGGUUAUUCUUCAAUAAGGCUCAUUAGUUAACAUAUAUAAAUAACAAAUAAUAAUUAACAAUAUUUCCACAGCAUUUAUUAAUCUUAGUUCAUGUUAAUUUCAGCAUUUACUUAUGCAUUAUUAAAAUCACAAGUUCUGUUUGUAAACAUUAAUGCACUGUGAACAUGAAAAAUUAAUGACUCUAAUUUUGUCCUUAUGUUCGUUAGGUGAAAAAGAAAAACCCAAUAAACAAAGUAAAAUCGAAUUUGACUGAUAUCUUUUCGCCCCAAGGUUUCAUUAGAUAUCACGAUAUAUCGAUAUUGUGAAUAUUUUGGCCGUUAUAUGAAAAAUCUAAUAUUGUGACAGCCCUAUAUAGCAGAUAUAAUUUUGUUUUCAUGCAGAAUAUUAAAGCUUCGCGUGAGCAUUUCAUUGGCCCCUGAGCAGCAAGCACAAACCAGACAGAGCUGAGUGAGGUGAAACAGGAACUUUAAUUUGACCUAUUUCACAGAGUUCAUUUCCUGUUUUGCCCAUUCGCGGAGAGACGCGUGAAAUGAGACACCAAAACACUGUUAAUGAAUGUGGCCACAGAGAGCGGAUGUCACAGCCCCAUAUAAUAAAUGCCAAUAAUAAGACUUGGUCUGAAACAAUAGACGCCUUAACGCAGCCAGGUUCAAUGCACGUAAAUCCAGUGUUUUUCUUUGAAGAUCAAAGUGGUGUAAAUCACAGACUCCUAUACGUUCCUGUUUAAAGUUUAGCCAGUGUGCACACGCUAAAUAAGCUGAGGUGCUCCCCUGGCAGAAAAAAAUGUCUUAUCUUAAAUCUCAUCACCCGUUACACUUAUGAUAUCUGUCGCUGCCCCACCUACUGUGCUACAUUAGUGGGGUGAAAUGUUCUGUGCUACGUUAAUACAAAAUGAAAGGGAGGCUAAAAAAUUUUGUUCCAGGACAUUACUUUUCAGGAAGCAGUUUAUUUUAAAAUCCACUCAGACUCGAUGUAUAUAUCGCAUUCCUUGCCUUUAUAAGCA
ensembl:lncRNA